rnacentral:rRNA from 1 species
GAUCAAGUGUCAAAAGGGCGUUCGAGGGAUGCCUUGGCAGAUACAGGCGAUGAAGGACGUGGCAUGCUGCGAAAAGCUCCGGGGAGGCGCAAGCACCCUUUGAUCCGGAGAUGUCCGAAUGGGGAAACCCACCUCUGAGCCUAUCUUUGAUUGCUGUCGCGCUCCUUUCUUUGGAGAGUGUGGGGCGGCAGUCAUCACAGAUGGGUUCUGUAAGAGGUAUCUUUUACCUGAAUACAUAGGGUUUAAGAGGCGAACUCGGAGAACUGAAACAUCUCAGUACCCGAAGGAAAGGAAAUCAACAGAGACUCCCCUAGUAGUGGCGAGCGAAAGGGGACCAGGCCUGGCUUAGAAAUAAUGGGAAGCGAGUGGAAACCGCGCCAAAGAGGGUGACAGCCCCGUACCAGUAGAAUGAAGAGCCGUUUGAGUAGGGCGGGACACGUGAAAUCCUGUCUGAACAUGGGGGGACCACCCUCCAAGCCUAAGUACUCGUAUCUGACCGAUAGUGAACAAGUACCGUGAGGGAAAGGUGAAAAGCACCCCUAUAAGGGGAGUGAAACAGAACCUGAAAUCGGACGCCUACAAGCAGUCGGAGCAUCUUCGGAUGUGACGGCGUACCUUUUGUAUAAUGGGUCAGCGACUUAGUCUCUCUAGCAGCUUAAGCCGGUAGGUGUAGGCACAGCGAAAGCGAGUCUGAAUAGGGCGCUUGUUAGAGGGAUUAGACCCGAAACCCGGUGAUCUAGAUAUGAGCAGGCUGAAGGUGAGGUAACACUCACUGAAGGGCCGAACCCACACCUGUUGAAAAAGGUCGGGAUGACUUGUGUCUAGGGGUGAAAGGCCAAUCAAACCGGGAGAUAGCUGGUUCUCCGCGAAAUCUAUUUAGGUAGAGCGUCUGGUAUUACCCUCGGGGGUAGAGCACUGGAUGGGCUAUGGGGGCUCACCGCCUUACUGAUCCUAACCAAACUCCGAAUACCGAGGAGUAGAGCCAGGCAGACACACUGCGAAUGCUAACGUCCGUAGUGGAGAGGGAAACAACCCUGAUCGACAGCUAAGGUCCCUAAGUCAUAGCUAAGUGGGAAAGCAUGUAGGAAUCCCAAAACAACCAGGAGGUUGGCUUAGAAGCAGCCAUCCUUUAAAGAAAGCGUAACAGCUCACUGGUCUAAAUAAGGGUUCCCGCGGCGAAAAUGUAACGGGUCUAAAGCUAUGCACCGAAGCUUCGAGCUGAAAAGCGGUAGCGGAGCGUUCUGUGAGUAAGGCUUCGGCCUGCAUUCACUUGCGCGCUCCUCUGACUUCCAUUCCUUUGCGUUUCUUGGGAAUGGGUCUGUCUGAGAGAGUAACCAAAUGAAUGUAGGCUGAUCCUUUCGAUGAAGCCGGGUCGCGAGACAACCGGUGGAGAGAUCAGAAGCGAGAAUGCUGACACGAGUAGCGAUAAGGAGUGUGAGAGACACUCCCGCCGUAAGUCCAAGGGUUCCUGCGUAAAGCUAAUCUGCGCAGGGUGAGCCGGUCCCUAAGGCGAGGCCGAGAGGCGUAGUCGAUGGGAAGCAGGUUAAUAUUCCUGCGCCGGAUGGAUGUGUGACGGAUCUGAGAGCUUGUCGUCCUUAUUGGAUUGGGCGGCAUUGGUAAGGGUCCCUGGAAAUAGCCUCCAUCAUAACGACCGUACCCCAAACCGACACAGGUGGACUGGUAGAGCAUACCAAGGCGCUUGAGAGAACUGCGUUGAAGGAACUCGGCAAAAUACUCCCGUAAGUUCGCGAGAAGGGAGCCCAGUCAUGAAGACUGGGGGCACAGAAAUAGGGGUGGCGACUGUUUACUAAAAACAUAGGGCUCUGCGAAGUCGAAAGACGACGUAUAGGGUCUGACGCCUGCCCGGUGCCGGAAGGUUAAGAGGAGGUGUGCAAGCACCGAAUUGAAGCCCCGGUAAACGGCGGCCGUAACUAUAACGGUCCUAAGGUAGCGAAAUUCCUUGUCGGGUAAGUUCCGACCUGCACGAAUGGCGUAACGACUUCCCCACUGUCUCCAACGCAGACUCAGCGAAACUGAAUUCUCCGUGAAGAUGCGGAGUACCCGCGGUCAGACGGAAAGACCCCGUGCACCUUGACUACAACUUCGCAGUGGCAUGAGCGACAGCAUGUGUAGCAUAGGCGGGAGGCUUUGAAGUCGCGGCGCCAGCCGUGGUGGAGCCACCAUUGAAAUACCGCCCUUGCUUUCGUUUAUGUCUAACCGCGGUCCGUUAUCCGGAUCCGGGACCCUGCGUGGCGGGUAGUUUGACUGGGGCGGUCGCCUCCUAAAUGGUAACGGAGGCGCGCGAAGGUUGGCUCAGAGCGGUCGGAAAUCGCUCGUUGAGUGCAAUGGCAUAAGCCAGCCUGACUGCGAGACUGACAAGUCGAGCAGAGACGAAAGUCGGCCAUAGUGAUCCGGUGGUCCCGCGUGGAAGGGCCAUCGCUCAACGGAUAAAAGGUACGCCGGGGAUAACAGGCUGAUGAUGCCCAAGAGUCCAUAUCGACGGCAUUGUUUGGCACCUCGAUGUCGGCUCAUCGCAUCCUGGGGCUGGAGCAGGUCCCAAGGGUUUGGCUGUUCGCCAAUUAAAGCGGUACGUGAGCUGGGUUUAGAACGUCGUGAGACAGUUCGGUCCCUAUCUGCCGUGGGAGUAGGAAAUUUGAGAGGAGCUGCCCUUAGUACGAGAGGACCGGGGUGGACGUAUCUCUGGUGGACCAGUUGUCGCGCCAGCGGCAUAGCUGGGUAGCUAUAUACGGAACGGAUAACCGCUGAAAGCAUCUAAGCGGGAAGCCGCCCUCGAUACUAGAUUUCCCUGAGAACCGUGGAAGACCACCACGUUGAUAGGCCAGGUGUGGAAGCGCAGCAAUGUGUGAAGCUUACUGGUACUAAUUGUUCGAUCGGCUUGAUCGU